CGGCGGGGUCUUCGCAGGCCGUCGGCCUUGCUGGCCAUGCGCCGAGGUGCUGGGGCAGUAGAAGGCUGCAGGCGAGGUACGCGGGAGAGCAACUCUUCCUUUUUUAGGUUUAAAUGCAGUAAAGUCUCCCUUACGCCUUUAAUUCUUGGCAUCAAAGAGCAGAGAGGUGUUUCCUUGCCAAAUGAAAUAGUAUUAAAGAGAUGCAUGUCAUGGUGUGGUGAAACAUCUUCCUGAGUGUACCUUGCUGUGGUUCUGUAGCAACUCUCACUUUGUGCGAUGUUUUUAGAUGCUUUUGUGUGUUGGGAAUUUCUUUGGCUCUACUUCAGACACUGAAUGGACAGAGUAUCGCACAGGGGCCAAGAAAGCUCCAAUUCAAACCUUUGUGCUUGGCGCUAAUGACCAAGAGACUGUGCGCUAUUUUCCAGAUGUCAGUGGCUGCGAAUUAGCUGAGAACAUCACUUAUUUAGGUAACAUAGUUGAGUGAUGAUGCUUUCAUGAAAGUUUUGUGAUUUUCUGCUUCAAGCCCAUUCUCUUUUCUGGAAAUUUUAAGAUGGUGUUUUUUAUUCUGACACUCAGACAGGAGUUGAACUUCACAUUGAAAGGCUGAUAUUAUCUGCUUUGUGAAAUGGGAAAAAGCACAGUUUUUUACUGUUUUCUAACACUCUCUGAACUUUGCUAACCAAAAUAAAGAGUGGUUUAGA